rnacentral:rRNA from 1 species
GACGAACGCUGGCGGCGUGCUUAACACAUGCAAGUCGAACGGAAAGGCCCUGCUCUUGUUGGGUGCUCGAGUGGCGAACGGGUGUGUAAAACGUGAGUAACCCGCCCCUGACUUUGGGAUAACUUCAGGAAACUGGGGCUAAUAUAGCAUAGGAGCUCCUGCUGCAUGGUGGGGGUUGGAAAGUUUCGGCGGUUGGGGAUGGACUCGCGGGUUAUCAGCUUGUUGGUGGGGUAGUGGCUUACCAAGCCUUUGACGGGUAGCCGGCCUGAGAGGGUGACCGGCCACAUUGGGACUGAGAUACGGCCCAGACGCCUACGGGAGGCAGCAGUGGGGAAUAUUGCGCAAUGGGCGGAAGCCUGAUGCAGCGACGCCGCGUGCGGGAAGACGGCCUACGGGUUAUAAACCGCUUUCGCAUGUAACAAAGCGUGAGUGACGGUAAUGAGUAAAGAAGCACCGGCUAACUACGUG